UACAGAGGUCCCAAGCGUUGUUCGGAUUCAUUGGGCGUAAAGGGUGCGUAGGCGGCGCGGUAAGUCGGGUGUGAAAUUUCGGAGCUUAACUCCGAAACUGCAUUCGAUACUGGCGUGCUUGAGGACUGGAGAGGAGACUGGGAAUUCAUGGUGUAGCAGUGAAAUGCGUAGAGAUCAUGAGGAAGACCAGUGGCGAAGGCGGGUCUCUGGACAGUUCCUGACACUGAGACACGAAGGCCAGGGGAGCAAACGGG
rnacentral:rRNA from 1 species